CUGCGGUGCUGCAGAAUGCAGUACACCCACCUGAACAGCCAGGAAAAUGCAAAGGUACCAAGGAGGGACAUCAGUCACACAGUAGCAAAGGUCUGAACAGAUACAGAUGGAAGUGUUACUGUGUUGCUCCUUUCUGUUGGAUCUCUCUGUUGGAAAUUGUCAAAACUUGUUAAUCCGGCGACUGAAUGACGGACAGAUUUUACUGGACAUAUCAAAAGCUGGAACGCACAACGAAACUGGAAACCGGACCGGAACAACAUGCUCAAACAUGAAGGAAUCAUCUGAUUUCAUUAUGCAAUAAAUUUCAGACUGAUAAUCAAGCAUUAUAAAGAGAACCCGAAGUAGACGACAACAUCGAAUAAGGGGAUAAUCUUCCAGAACCA